GAAUUUGUUUGAAUUUAUUGUGUUUAUGUUGUUUAUGUUAUGUUUUAUUAUAUUUCUAUUUUUUUAUAAUUUUUAUAUUCUAUUUUUAUAUAAACCCAUAUAUCUUAUGGGCUACUCUUAUGCCAUUCUUUCACAUAAAUUCUGUUGACUAGACAGUUUUUAAAAUGGUGCAUCAGGUAGGAUGGUAUGGUAUGAAUUGAUGCUACAUUUAGAGUAACCGAUAUUCAUUAAUACAGCACUCCUCCAACUCUAGGUAUCUGGCUCUCCUUCACACCCUUCUCCGUCACUUCUGGAUGAACCUCGAUGGUCCAUCCUUCACUGAGGUGCCAGGAUGGCAAAGACAUUUUGCACCAACAACCAGCCCCGGGACAGAUAGUAAUUGAAAAUCCUCCUAUCUCUGGGGAGGAUGAUCCAGGGAAUGACCUCAUGGCCUUUCUGUAAUGUGGAAAAGCUUCAUCAACAACACAAUCAGGCAGAGGUCCUCGGUGCUCAGCUGCUGGUAAAGACUGGUCAGCAGAUCUUAAAGUUUGUGGUGAUGCAAGAAAAGGCAACAGAACUGCAGAAGAGCCGCUCAUCUUGAAGAAAAAUCAGCACAGCCCAGCUGAAUUUGGUCCAUUCAGACUCGAGACACUAACAGAGAGCCAAUUGAAGACCCACGUGUGGCAACUCGAGCAAUGGUUUUAUGCUGACGUCCACAGUGUGUUUUUCGCAAAAACAGCGCUAGAGGGCGCCAAGGUGGAACAGAAUGAAAACAUCCCUCUCCCCUGUUCCCUCCCGUCUCUGCUGUGACUAAGAGCAUCCAACAGCAAAGAAUCUCUGGAGGAUCCUGGUGUUCAGUAAGAAGCAGGACACUGACGUUCAAGUAUCUGGAGUUUCUCAGCUUUAAGCACACCAGCUCCCUCAGUAAACCAGCAGAAGGUUCAGCUGGUGCCGCAAACACAGCACAGACUCGAAGAGGACCAGCAGGGGCCAGCGGCAGAGGAGGAGGGUCUCUCACUCUCCGCACUCCGGGACCGUGCAGUAUCGGAACAAUCACGGCGACAUCGUGGCAGCAAUGAUGCGGGCGGUCGCGG